rnacentral:rRNA from 1 species
GAUGAACGCUGGCGGCGUGCCUAAUACAUGCAAGUCGAGCGAACAGACGAGGAGCUUGCUCCUCUGACGUUAGCGGCGGACGGGUGAGUAACACGUGGAUAACCUACCUAUAAGACUGGGAUAACUUCGGGAAACCGGAGCUAAUACCGGAUAAUAUAUUGAACCGCAUGGUUCAAUAGUGAAAGACGGUUUUGCUGUCACUUAUAGAUGGAUCCGCGCCGCAUUACCUAGUUGGUAAGGUAACGGCUUACCAAGGCAACGAUGCGUAGCCGACCUGAGAGGAUGCUCGGCCACACUGGAACUGAGACACGGUCGAGAAUCCUACGGGAGGAAGCAGUAGGGCCUCUUCCGCAAUGGGCGAAAGCCUGACGGAGCAAAGCCGCGUGAGUGAUGAAGGUCUUCGGAUCGUAAAACUCUGUUAUUCGGGAAGAACGAAUGUGUAAGUAACUAUGCACGUCUUGACGGUACCUAAUCAGAAAGCCACGGCUAACUACGUG